GUCCUAGCUGUAAACGGUGCACGCUUGGUGUGGGAGGCAACCCCUUCCGUGCCGAAGCUAACGCGAUAAGCGUGCCGCCUGGGUAGUACGGUCGCAAGACUAAAACUCAAAGAAAUUGACGGGGACCCGCACAAGCGGUGGAGUAUGUGGCUUAAUUCGAUGCAACGCGAAGAACCUUACCAGGGCUUGACAUGUAUUGUAACCCCGAUGAAAGUCGGGCAGCGUAGAAAUACGCGCUUUACACAGGUGCUGCAUGGCUGUCGU
rnacentral:rRNA from 1 species